AGUGAACGCUGGCGGUAGGCCUAACACAUGCGAGUCGAACGGCAGCACAGUAAGAGCUUGCUCUUACGGGUGGCGAGUGGCGGACGGGUGAGGAAUACAUCGGAAUCUACUUUUUCGUGGGGGAUAACGUAGGGAAACUUACGCUAAUACCGCAUACGACCUACGGGUGAAAGCAGGGGAUCUUCGGACCUUGCGCGAUUGAAUGAGCCGAUGUCGGAUUAGCUAGUUGGCGGGGUAAAGGCCCACCAAGGCGACGAUCCGUAGCUGGUCUGAGAGGAUGAUCAGCCACACUGGAACUGAGACACGGUCCAGACUCCUACGGGAGGCAGCAGUGGGGAAUAUUGGACAAUGGGCGCAAGCCUGAUCCAGCCAUACCGCGUGGGUGAAGAAGGCCUUCGGGUUGUAAAGCCCUUUUGUUGGGAAAGAAAAGCAGCAGGUUAAUACCCCGCUGUUCUGGCGGUACCCAAAGAAUAAGCACCGGCUAACUUCGUG
rnacentral:rRNA from 1 species